AGUGAACGCUGGCGGUAGGCCUAACACAUGCAAGUCGAACGGCCGCACAGUAAGAGCUUGCUCUUACGGGUGGCGAGUGGCGGACGGGUGAGGAAUACAUCGGAAUCUACUUUUUCGUGGGGGAUAACGUAGGGAAACUUACGCUAAUACCGCAUACGACCUACGGGUGAAAGCAGGGGAUCUUCGGACCUUGCGCGUUUGAUUGAGCCGAUGUCGGAUUAGCUAGUUGGCGGGGUAAAGGCUCACCAAGGCGACGAUCCGUAGCUGGUCUGAGAGGAUGAUCAGCCACACUGGAACUGAGACACGGUCCAGACUCCUACGGGAGGCAGCAGUGGGGAAUAUUGGACAAUGGGCGCAAGCCUGAUCCAGCAAUACCGCGUGGGUGAAGAAGGCCUUCGGGUUGUAAAGCCCUUUUGUUGGGAAAGAAAAGCAGCAGGUUAAUACCCCGAUGUUCUGACGGUACCCAAAGAAUAAGCACCGGCUAACUUCGUG
rnacentral:rRNA from 1 species